rnacentral:rRNA from 1 species
AUAACCGGCGAUUUCCGAAUGGGGAAACCCAGUGUGUUUCGACACACUAUCAUUAACUGAAUCCAUAGGUUAAUGAGGCGAACCGGGGGAACUGAAACAUCUAAGUACCCCGAGGAAAAGAAAUCAACCGAGAUUCCCCCAGUAGCGGCGAGCGAACGGGGAGGAGCCCAGAGCCUGAAUCAGUGUGUGUGUUAGUGGAAGCGUCUGGAAAGGCGCGCGAUACAGGGUGACAGCCCCGUACACAAAAAUGCACAUAUUGUGAGCUCGAUGAGUAGGGCGGGACACGUGGUAUCCUGUCUGAAUAUGGGGGGACCAUCCUCCAAGGCUAAAUACUCCUGACUGACCGAUAGUGAACCAGUACCGUGAGGGAAAGGCGAAAAGAACCCCGGCGAGGGGAGUGAAAAAGAACCUGAAACCGUGUACGUACAAGCAGUGGGAGCCUCUUAAUGGGGUGACUGCGUACCUUUUGUAUAAUGGGUCAGCGACUUAUAUUCUGUAGCAAGGUUAACCGAAUAGGGGAGCCGAAGGGAAACCGAGUCUUAACUGGGCGUUAAGUUGCAGGGUAUAGACCCGAAACCCGGUGAUCUAGCCAUGGGCAGGUUGAAGGUUGGGUAACACUAACUGGAGGACCGAACCGACUAAUGUUGAAAAAUUAGCGGAUGACUUGUGGCUGGGGGUGAAAGGCCAAUCAAACCGGGAGAUAGCUGGUUCUCCCCGAAAGCUAUUUAGGUAGCGCCUCGUGAAUUCAUCUCCGGGGGUAGAGCACUGUUUCGGCAAGGGGGUCAUCCCGACUUACCAACCCGAUGCAAACUGCGAAUACCGGAGAAUGUUAUCACGGGAGACACACGGCGGGUGCUAACGUCCGUCGUGAAGAGGGAAACAACCCAGACCGCCAGCUAAGGUCCCAAAGUCAUGGUUAAGUGGGAAACGAUGUGGGAAGGCCCAGACAGCCAGGAUGUUGGCUUAGAAGCAGCCAUCAUUUAAAGAAAGCGUAAUAGCUCACUGGUCGAGUCGGCCUGCGCGGAAGAUGUAACGGGGCUAAACCAUGCACCGAAGCUGCGGCAGCGACACUAUGUGUUGUUGGGUAGGGGAGCGUUCUGUAAGCCUGUGAAGGUGGCCUGUGAGGGUUGCUGGAGGUAUCAGAAGUGCGAAUGCUGACAUAAGUAACGAUAAAGCGGGUGAAAAGCCCGCUCGCCGGAAGACCAAGGGUUCCUGUCCAACGUUAAUCGGGGCAGGGUGAGUCGACCCCUAAGGCGAGGCCGAAAGGCGUAGUCGAUGGGAAACAGGUUAAUAUUCCUGUACUUGGUGUUACUGCGAAGGGGGGACGGAGAAGGCUAUGUUGGCCGGGCGACGGUUGUCCCGGUUUAAGCGUGUAGGCUGGUUUUCCAGGCAAAUCCGGAAAAUCAAGGCUGAGGCGUGAUGACGAGGCACUACGGUGCUGAAGCGACAAAUGCCCUGCUUCCAGGAAAAGCCUCUAAGCAUCAGGUAACAUCAAAUCGUACCCCAAACCGACACAGGUGGUCAGGUAGAGAAUACCAAGGCGCUUGAGAGAACUCGGGUGAAGGAACUAGGCAAAAUGGUGCCGUAACUUCGGGAGAAGGCACGCUGAUAUGUAGGUGAAGCGACUUGCUCGUGGAGCUGAAAUCAGUCGAAGAUACCAGCUGGCUGCAACUGUUUAUUAAAAACACAGCACUGUGCAAACACGAAAGUGGACGUAUACGGUGUGACGCCUGCCCGGUGCCGGAAGGUUAAUUGAUGGGGUUAGCGGUAACGCGAAGCUCUUGAUCGAAGCCCCGGUAAACGGCGGCCGUAACUAUAACGGUCCUAAGGUAGCGAAAUUCCUUGUCGGGUAAGUUCCGACCUGCACGAAUGGCGUAAUGAUGGCCAGGCUGUCUCCACCCGAGACUCAGUGAAAUUGAACUCGCUGUGAAGAUGCAGUGUACCCGCGGCAAGACGGAAAGACCCCGUGAACCUUUACUAUAGCUUGACACUGAACAUUGAGCCUUGAUGUGUAGGAUAGGUGGGAGGCUUUGAAGUGUGGACGCCAGUCUGCAUGGAGCCGACCUUGAAAUACCACCCUUUAAUGUUUGAUGUUCUAACGUGGGCCCCUUACCGGGGUUGCGGACAGUGUCUGGUGGGUAGUUUGACUGGGGCGGUCUCCUCCUAAAGAGUAACGGAGGAGCACGAAGGUUGGCUAAUCCUGGUCGGACAUCAGGAGGUUAGUGCAAUGGCAUAAGCCAGCUUGACUGCGAGCGUGACGGCGCGAGCAGGUGCGAAAGCAGGUCAUAGUGAUCCGGUGGUUCUGAAUGGAAGGGCCAUCGCUCAACGGAUAAAAGGUACUCCGGGGAUAACAGGCUGAUACCGCCCAAGAGUUCAUAUCGACGGCGGUGUUUGGCACCUCGAUGUCGGCUCAUCACAUCCUGGGGCUGAAGUAGGUCCCAAGGGUAUGGCUGUUCGCCAUUUAAAGUGGUACGCGAGCUGGGUUUAGAACGUCGUGAGACAGUUCGGUCCCUAUCUGCCGUGGGCGCUGGAGAACUGAGGGGGGCUGCUCCUAGUACGAGAGGACCGGAGUGGACGCAUCACUGGUGUUCGGGUUGUCAUGCCAAUGGCACUGCCCGGUAGCUAAAUGCGGAAGAGAUAAGUGCUGAAAGCAUCUAAGCACGAAACUUGCCCCGAGAUGAGUUCUCCCUGACUCCUUGAGAGUCCUGAAGGAACGUUGAAGACGACGACGUUGAUAGGCCGGGUGUGUAAGCGCAGCGAUGCGUUGAGCUAACCGGUACUAAUGAACCGUGAGGCUUAACCUU